rnacentral:rRNA from 1 species
UUUGACCUCAAAUCANGUAGGACUACCCGCUGAACUUAAGCAUAUCAAUAA